AGACGAAGUGUAUCUUCUGGGGGAGGACAGUAAUUGGCUUAUCUGUUGAUAACCUCAUUGUUUUAUAUCAUUUGAACACACAAGGCUGCAUCCAUGUGAGUGUUCUGGAUUCUACACAUGGAACAAUGAUAUGAUUUGCAUUUAGUUGUGUUACAGUUGUGUGAAACGUGUGUAUAUAUGUGUGUAUUUCUUUGUGUGUUCAGGCAAAAAUGAAAGAGGUGGCUUAGGGACUGCUUGAUGAUUGGCUGAACAAAGCCAGGGUCAGUGGAUUAAAGGAUUAAGGGGGAGCAUAAGAGAGAGGGGGGAGUGUGAGAGAGAGAGAGAGAGAGAGAGAGAGAGAGAGAGAGAAAUGAAUAAACAAGAGAGAACUGCAUUCUGAGAACAUGUGAGAAAGCAUUGGAAUUAAAAAAAGAGGGAUAAACAAAGGGACCAAAGGACAGAGCAAGAGACUGUAAAACAAAGGAAUAUGUGAUCCAGAGACAUUUAGAUCCUAAGAAUGAUUGAUAGAAGUGAAAGGGACAGAUAGAAAACAACCAGUUCAACAGAUGAAUGGACGAAGUGGAGAUCGACCCUGUAACACUCAACCUCAUCAUCCUUGUUGCCAGCUACGUCAUCCUGCUCCUCGUCUUCCUCAUCUCCUGCAUGAUGUACGACUGCCAAGGCAGAGACCCGAGCAAAGAGUACGCUCCCGAUCCGGUACCUGGCACCAACCACACUCCCAUCCGCCUCGUCGUCAUGCAGAGCUCGCCCAUCUGCUGGGACAAUUCCAGAACCAUCACAGAACAAAGGGAGAAGAAGUCCACCCUGGUCUAGAGGUCUUAUAUUUCAGGAUCAUGGAAAUCAACUUAUAUGUCAACUGAUGGAAAAUAGAGACAACUUAGAAUAGUUUCGAACCCAAGCCAAAAACAAAGCUUACAAACUGCAAUUAACAUGUAGUAUACUGUUUUAGUUUUAGUAUUUUAAGUAUUAAGUAUUUUACAUUGUUUCAUCAACUAUAAUGGCACAGUCAUUGGUGAAUUGUCUGCUGAACAACUCCAAAAGGGAAUUUUGGGAACUUCCUGGUUGCUUUAGGACAUCUCUCCACACAGUACAUUUACAAAAUAAGGACUUUUCAAAUCAUGAACUCGGGAAACUUGACUUGACACAGAUUUUCAAGAUGAGGUCACAGUGUUGAGCUUCAGUGUGUGUGUGUAACCAGGCAGCAAUGAAGAAGGCUUCCUCUCCAACCUCUAUAUUACUAGGUCCUGUUGGUGGCAUCUUCAUCUAGCUGGAAACAGCGUCAACAGCAAGAGCAAUCAAGGAUAAAUUACUUUUGCUUCCAAGUGGAUGUGAACUCUGGACUACAUUGGCCAUGUGUCAUCUUCAAAACCCCCAGUGCAUUCUGUGUGAGCUGUAACUGCUAGAGAACAAUAUGUGGACAUUAUCCUUUGUGGUGCUUUGUAGGAUUUCAGCAACCCUGCCUUUUCAAUCACAAUUGUAGUCACCAGCUGGAUUUUUUUUCACAUUAGAUCAUUACCAUGAGACUAUUACUAUGAGAGAAUAACAAGAUGAAUGACUACAGACACUGUACACACUAACAUACACAACUGUUUUUGAAGAUGAGGUUUUUUAUUUUUGUAAGCCGGGGACUGGAUCUGCGGAUGGCAUCGCUGAAAAGGACAGUGUCUCUUUGUUUCCUUUUUUCUUGUUCAACCAUGAUGAUUUUGCACUUUUGUCAAGUUGACAAAAACAAGAACCCAACACACACACAUUAUAAUGUUUGCUUAGUUUACACCAAAUCCAAAAGAUUAGGGAGCUAAAUCAAAUUUCUGUAAAGCCACAUUAAAAGCUGACUUAAACUGAAAGCUGACUAAUCUAUCAAGGAUGCUAACAGCCACCAGGAAAUGCCUAAAUAACCACAUGGUCACCUGACAUAAUUUGCCUAAUAAAUAGUAUGUGUUCCCCAAAAUACAUACAACUCCAUCUUUUUUCCUCUUGGGACACGCCCACUACCUGAGUCUAAUACUGUUUUGCAGUGACUCACUUCAUUGUCUUGGACUCCAUGAUGCACUUUUAAGCAAAAUAAAUCCUUAUACACUAAAUAUGUACUAGAGAUGAUAUUUGGGAUAAAAACUAUUCCAUGAACAAACGAGACCUUAUCAUAGUCCAUCAAAUAUAUCAAAAGUUUAUCACACGUGUGCAAAUUUCCUUUUAGCUGUUUUCAAAGCUGCUAGCUGUAGCAUGUAAUGCUAUUUGAGAACGCACUCUUUGACUCCUAGGUGUCUGAACAUCAUAAGGAGAUAAGACAUCUUCGCUAAGUCGCAUCGUCAGAUAGCUUAUCAUUAGAAGAAGUGACGUUUCCCGGAAACCGUCAAAGAGAAGCCAAAGACGCUUGAUACUUUAGCAUCUUAUGAGUCAAUCAGCCAUGAAGUUAAUCCUCUUCAUUUGGAGAAGUAGAUUACUGUCCUUAUAGACAAAGGGAUAGAAAAUAUAGUUGGAUUAAAUGAUAGAAAGGAUGUUCUUCUUCACUGUGUUCUUCUUCCAUUUCUUAAUGAUCUUUAACAUAAGACAAACUUCAUCCUCAGAUGUUUUUUUUUUAUUAUUAUAACCUAGAGAGAACACAAUAUAAUGUGUUUACUUAAUUUCUUAAUAUUAGAAGAAGUUCCUGAGAGGUUUCAACUACCCUAUCCAUUCUACGCACACAAUGCAAACAAUAUUUAAAGACUACAAACUACUACAUACACCUUUUUUUAAACACGAUUAACAACACAGACCCAAUUUACCUCUGUAGGGUCUUGCACAUGCAUGUUUUUCAUGUUUUCAUUGUAAAUUUGUCAUUUAUGCCUUCCAUUCUUUUUCUUAUGUCCUUAUAAUUUGUCAUAGACUGCUGUGUGGAGUAGGAAUUUUAUUUUAUUAUGUAACAGAAUGUUUCCUGUAGAGAUGUCAUAUAAACUCUUGAAUCCAGAUUCUUGAAUCUUCUCCCAGCUAGCUUGCUAACAGCAAUUGGUCCUGUCUCUGUGUGUUUCGAGAUACUCAAACAUACGUCUCAUAUCAUAUCUCAGUAUCAUUUUCUAAGAUAAGCAUUAUCAAAAUCAGCUGCUGAUACAGUUAUAUCAAAUAGGUUUCAAAGGUUGAAUGACAGUAAGAGCUCGGUCAAUAUUUAGUAUACUACUGAUAAGAGCUACAUGACGUGGAGGUGUAGCGUAGUGUGUCAUGCGCUUUAUUUCUCUUUUACACACACGAACACACACAAACGAAAUGUUAGCCAUUGGUAUAAGUUGGCUUGAAUUGUUUCGAGCAUUAGGUUUGGAAUUUAAAAAUAGUGAAACAUGCUUGAACACGCUAACUCUGGAGCUUCACUCUAUGUUAGUCUUUUUUUUUUUGACAGUUGGCAUAUGCUAGCUACCGAUUGCUAAGUCUAACAUUUCCUUGCUAAAAUAUAGCUGUUAAUUUUUCGAUGUGAGGACGUGGUGGCUAAAAAUUUAACAAAACUAUAGAAAAUAUCAGAAUGAAUUGACAAAUGUAUGAUUUAAGCAUCAAGUACUGAUACAGACAAUAUAUAAACAACAGAUGUUACAAAUGAGAUAGAACUAUCAAGAAUAUCUACACGAAAAUGAUGAUGUAGCAAGGAAUAUUUACCUCACACAUGUUGCUAAAUUGCUAAAAAAAAUUUUACAUUUUAUUAGCUAGCACUAGCUGUCUAGACCUUGAUGCAGACAAAACACAGUUACCCUGGAAAAUGAGAAAUAUCACAUUAUACCAUUAAAAAUAUCUAAAUUUUCCCACACGUGUUGGAUAAUUUCCAGAAAAAAGGACCCUGUAUGAGCAAAAUAAUUUUUUUCAAAAGCUAGUACUUGUUGUAUACAGUAAAUAUACAGUUGUAUACAGUAAAUAUAGUUAAUCUAAUAACAGAAGUAAGACAAAAUGUCAACAUUUUCCUCAACGAAAUACUAGGAAAAGAUUCUGUAUGACUGAUGUUGCAAUGUAAUUACUAUUCAUAUCAGCAGCAAACAAAAGGUUUAAUAUGUCAUACUAUAUUGAGAGUGCUGAGAGUAUAGCACUGAGUAACUGCUCGUCAGCUCGUAGCUUGCUAAGAGUCAAUAAAUGUUAAAAAUAACAGUAGUGGAAUGCAGCACGAGCUCUCAGGCAUGUGUGUGUGAGUGUGUUUAGGUUUCGCUAUCAUCAUAUAUUAAAAAUAAUUGGCAUAGCAUCCAGUACAAGCUGGUGCUAACCAGUCGUGCCACAAAAGGUGAAACCAGAAGUGAAGAAUGUACACAUUGUACCUCUCUGACGAAUUAAACAAUGCUAAAGAACUGGAAGAUAGGUAAAAUAACUGUAAAUCCAGUUGUGUGAUUGUUGUGCCUGCCCACUAGUUACUACUGCCACUCUAAAAUUAGCAGCUGAAACAUGUUAAUUAUUUUAUACAGAUGAUAUAAACACUUCUUUUUCGAGUUAUUAUAUAUUACAUUGCCUUCACUGCCACAAUUUGUAUGCACUUCCCACUUGCGCUAAAGCGGAUCAUUCGUCUCCAUACCCCCUGUCCUCUACAUCUGCCUUUUUCAAACCAACUACCUGCAUGUCUUCCCUCACCACAUCCAGAAACCUCCUCCUUGGCCGUCCUUUUUUCCUACUUCCUGGCGGCUCCAUCCUCAGCAUUCUCCUACCGAUAUACCCCAUGUCCUUUCUCUGCACAUGUAAAAACCGUUACCAAAAUGUCCUACAUGCGCUGUCCCUCUAAUAAACUUGUUUCUAAUCUU